rnacentral:lncRNA from 1 species
AGAUGUUGUUGGCUUCCAGUAACAGUGGAAGAAAGACUAUCCUGGUAGUUCUCCCAAGCCCGGCGACUGCAGCUUAGCUCCUGCCAGAGACUGGUGGCAUCCUCUAACCCCUCCAAAGAUCGGUAUAGCUGAUAGCAUAACUCUAAACCUGGUUCCCAAUUUUGCAGAAAUGAAAACUAGAAAAAAAAAAAGAGGCAGCGUCUGCAGAGGAGGAAGAAAGGCGGUUUGCGUGUAGAGGCGGCUUGCAUAUCUUAUGCUUUCAGACCCUGCUCAGUGCCAGGAAGUCCCACCUUAUGCUUUCAAACCAGCUAUCAGCCUGUCUGCCUCUGGAAGGACAUUCUUGGUCAAGCACUUAGUGGUACAUCUUGCCUCUAUUACAAACUACAUUUUUGAAGGCUUAUGUAUUGGAGCUGAAGAGCUAGCUCAGCAGUUAGGAGCACUGGCUGCUCUUCCAGAAGAUGCAGGUUCAAUGCCCAGCACCCACAUGGCAGCUCACAACCAGAGGUAAUUUCAUUCCUGGAGAGAAAUUUGGAAGCACAUAUGUCAAGAAACAGGGAACUAAAAGUCACCCAGGAUCCCACCCAUAUAGACACAACUACAGAUUCUCACAACUCCCCCUUCUGCAAGAAUAUCACAGCCUAGAAAGCCCACAAAUGUGGAUUUGAAGUGACACUAACAC